rnacentral:rRNA from 1 species
GAGGAAGGUGGGGAUGACGUCAAGUCCUCAUGGCCUUUAUGUCCAGGGCUACACACGUGCUACAAUGGCCGGUACAAACCGCUGCAAACCCGCGAGGGUGAGCCAAUCGGAGAAAGCCGGCCUCAGUUCGGAUUGCAGUCUGCAACUCGACUGCAUGAAGCUGGAAUCGCUAGUAAUCGCGGAUCAGCAUGCCGCGGUGAUACGUUCCCGGGCCUUGUACACACCGCCCGUCACAUCACGAAAGUGGGUUGUACUAGAAGCAGGUGAGCUAACCGCAAGGAAGCAGCCUUCCAAGGUGUGAUUCAUGAUUGGGGUGAAGUCG